rnacentral:rRNA from 1 species
ACGGAAGGCAGCAGUGGGGGAUAUUGCACAAUGGGGGAAACCCUGAUGCAGCGACGCCGCGUGAGUGAAGAAGUAUUUCGGUAUGUAAAGCUCUUUAAGCAGGGAAGAUAAUGACGGUACCUGCAGAAUAAGCCCCGGCUAACUACGUGCCAGCAGCCGCGGUAAUACGUAGGGGGCGAGCGUUAUCCGGAUUUACUGGGUGUAAAGGGAGCGUAGACGGAACAGCAAGUCUGAGGUGAAAUCAUGGGGCUCAACCCCGUAACUGCCUUGGAAACUGUUGAUCUUGAGUACCGGAGGGGCAGGCGGAAUUUCUGGUGUAGCGGUGAAAUGCGUAGAUAUCAGGAAGAACACCGGUGGCGAAGGCGGCCUGCUGGACGGUAACUGACGUUGAGGCUCGAAAGCGUGGGGAGCAAACAGGAUUAGAUACCCUGGUA